rnacentral:rRNA from 1 species
CACGUAGGGGCCAAGCGUUGUCCGGAUUUAUUGGGCGUAAAGAGCUCGUAGGCGGUUCGACAAGUCGGGUGUGAAAACUCCGGGCUCAACCCGGAGACGCCACCCGAUACUGUCGUGACUGGAGUCCGGUAGGGGAGUGGGGAAUUCCUGGUGUAGCGGUGAAAUGCGUAGAUAUCUGGAGGAACACCGGUGGCGAAGGCGGUCUGCUGGGCAGUAGCUGACGCUGAUGCGCGACAGCGUGGGGAGCAAACAGG